rnacentral:rRNA from 1 species
GACGAACGCUGGCGGCGUGCUUAACACAUGCAAGUCGAACGGUGACGAGGAGCUUGCUCCUCCGAUCAGUGGCGAACGGGUGGGUAACACGUGAGUAACCUGCCCCAGACUCUGGGAUAACAGUUGGAAACAGCUGCUAAUACCGGAUACGAGACGGAGAGGCAUCUCUACCGUCUGGAAAGUUUUUCGGUCUGGGAUGGACUCGCGGCCUAUCAGCUUGUUGGUGAGGUAAUGGCUCACCAAGGCGACGACGGGUAGCCGGCCUGAGAGGGCGACCGGCCACACUGGGACUGAGACACGGCCCAGACUCCUACGGGAGGCAGCAGUGGGGAAUAUUGCACAAUGGGCGAAAGCCUGAUGCAGCGACGCCGCGUGAGGGAUGACGGCCUCGG